rnacentral:rRNA from 1 species
AAUGAACGUUGGCGGCGUGGAUUAGGCAUGCAAGUCGAGCGGAAAGGCCCGCAAGGGCACUCGAGCGGCGUAAGGGACAGUAAUGUGUAGGUAACGUACCCCUGGGUCUAGGAUAGCUGCGGGAAACUGCAAUUAAUACUAGAUAACGUCUCCGGACCAAAGGUGUGAUUCCACCUGGGGAGCGGCCUACAUCCUAUUAGCUAGUUGGCGAGGUAAUGGCUCACCAAGGCGAAGAUGGGUAGCAGGUGUGAGAGCACGACCUGCGUCACUGGGACUGAGACACUGCCCAGACACCUACGGGUGGCUGCAGUCGAGAAUCUUCGGCAAUGGGCGAAAGCCUGACCGAGCGACGCCGCGUGUGGGAUGAAGGCCUUCGGGUUGUAAACCGCUGUCAGAGGGGAUGAAAUGCAGGUGGGUUCUCCCAUCUGUUUGACAUAGCCUCAGAGGAAGGACGGGCUAAGUUCGUGCCAGCAGCCGCGGUAAAAC